CAUUUAUUUUUCAGGAAAUGUUUAUCAAGCAUCUGCUACCUGUCCCACCCUGCAGUGGGCAUUGGGGAAUGGCCAAGCAGAUGAAUGAGAUCAGGCUCCCGUCCUCCAGGAGUGCAGCGUGUAGCAACUGACAGCGACAAGCCAUGGCCAAACAGGGACGUGGGCAAAGAAGGUCUGCUGGAGCAGAGAAAGUGAAACUGACCAGACGAAUCAGAAACCCGGGGAAGAGUCUGCGGCUGUCAGCAGAUACAAGGCCAGUGCCCUAAGGAGGUACUGGGAUAUAAGGGUGAAAAAGAUACAGUAAAGAGAUAAAUACAACAUUUGACAGAUGGACAAAAAGGAGUGUCAUGAAGAGAGUAGCAGCAGUGAUGAAGAGCUGUGGAGACGGGACAAUGGAUCCAGUAGGAGUGUAGAUGCAUCAGAACUCGUAAGACAGCAGACAGUACUGGUUGACAAUAGCAUACAGAAACUGCGAGACACGAGAACUGGAAUUUUUUCUCAGGCUGAAGCCUGUGUGACAGAUGAUAUGGUAUACAGGGAGUUACCCCCUGUUUCUCAGAUGUGUGGUAGCAUCUUACAUUUUUUCGACGAAGAUGACGAGACAGAGGCUGAGGCAUUAUGGUUCACUGCUUUUCCUAAGUAUCAACCAUCUGGGGAGGACAUUCCCAGUGUAUCAGAACAGCAGGAAUCUUCAGAGGGACAAGAAUCAGGAGAUAUUUGCUCAGAAGAGAAUCAAAUAGUUUCCUCUUAUGCUGCUAAACUCGGUUCUGAGGUUGAACAAGAUUACACAAAUCAUCAGUUUCUGGGGCCUGAAGGAAAUGUGGAUGUUGAGUUGAUUGAUAAGAGCACAAACACAUACAGCCUUCGGUUCCCCACUGCUGGCUGGUAUCUGUGGUCGGCCACCGGCCUCGGCUUCGUGGUAAGGGAUGCGGUCACGGUGACGAUUGCGUUUGGUUCCUGGAGUCAGCACCUGGCCCUGGACCUGCAGCACCAUGAACAGUGGCUGGCGGCCGGCCCCUUGUUUGCCGUCACUGCAGAGCCAGAGGAGGCUGUGGCCGAAAUCCACCUCCCCCACUUCAUCUCCCUCCAAGGUGAGGUGGACGUCUCCUGGUUCCUCGUGGCCCAUUUUAAGGAUGAAGGGAUGGUCCUGGAGCAGCCAAGCCGGGUGGAGCCUUUCUAUGCUGUCCUGGACAACCCCAGCUUCUCCCUGAUGGGCAUCCUGCUGCGGAUCGCCAGGGGGACGCGCCUCUCCAUCCCCAUCACCUCCAACACGUUGCUCUAUUUUCACCCCCAUCCCGAAGACAUUAAGUUCCACUUGUACCUUGUCCCCAGCGACGCCUUGCUGACGAAGAUGAUAGAUGAUGAGGAAGAGCGCUUCUGUGGUGUGCGUCUACAGACUUCACCCCCAGUGGAACCCCUGACCUUUGGUGCCCAUUAUAUUGUGUCUAAUUCUGCUCAUCUGGAAAUAAUACCCACGGAGUUGAAAUUGUCCUACCGGAGCCCUGGAGAAAUCCAGCCCUUCUCUAAAUUCUAUGCUGGGCAGAUGAAGGAACCCAUUCAACUUGAAAUUACUGAAAAAAGACAUGAGAUUCUGGUCUGGAAGACUGUGGUGAAGCCAGUGGAUAUCCAGCUUGGAGCUGCACCCUCCCCACCUGCCUUCUCAGGUGCAGCCUUUGUGAGGGAGAACCACCGGCAACUCCAAGCCAGGAUUGGGGACCUGAAAGGGGUGCUCGAUGAUCUCCAAGACAAUGAGGUUCUCAGUGAGAAUGAGAAGGAGCUGGUGGAGCAGGCAAAGACACGGCAGAGCAAGACCGACGCCCUGCUGAGCAUGGUGGAGAAGAAAGGGGACCGGGCCCUGGAGCUGCUCUUCAGAAGCCUUAGUGAAAGGGACCCUUACCUCGUGUCCUAUCUUAGACAGCAGAGUUUGUAAAGGGAGUCAGUCCGAGAGUCUGGAAGAGAGAAUCCAGCGUUCUCAUUGGAAAUGAACGAGUAGAGAUGCAUCCUUGAUUCCAGUGUCCAAAACAGAGGAGGGCUGGGUCACAUUUGCCCAUCACACAGGCUUUGGGGACAGAUACGUCACCGGGAAGACACCCAUGGGCUGUAUCCCCAUGCCUUUCCCUCAAGAAUAUCUGAAGAAAAUAACAAUCGUGCUUUUAAAUCUUUUCUAACCAUGGCUCGAUAUAUGACUGUUCCAUCCAUUGACACGUUUCCCGAAGACCCAGGGUGAGUAAGUCAAAGCAGUUGUGUUUAUACAUGAUAGGCUCCAGAAAGGAAAAUUCUCCUGAUGAACCUGAAAACCAGCUUUUAUGGACACUCUGUUUGAUGUGUCACCAUUCCACCACAAAAAGCAGGAACGCGAACAAAACCUCUCAAUCGAAGAGACUCAAGUAGAGACAGGGUUUCACCAUGUUGGCCAGGCUGGUCUCGAACUCCUGACCUGAAGUGAUCCACCCACCUCGGCCUCCCAAAGUGCUGGGAUUACAGAUGUGGCCCACCGCGCCUAGUCAUGGCUCAUCCUUGUAUUGUAAGUAAUUUUGAUUUGUACCCUGGACAUUUGAAUGUUAUGUUAUGAGACUCUAUGAUUCAUCUGUAUCCGGCACAAAGUGUCCAUUUUUUUUAGGUCUUCUAUGAAGUGAGGUAUUCAUGUUAGCUCAUUUUUAAAGUCUGUGCAGUUCUGUCUAUCCCGUGUGUGCCUGUGAGGUUGGGCGGAGGUUGACCCGCUAGUGCGGGUCUCAGGGCCUUUAAAUGUGAAUUAGGAUCACAGCAGUGGAUGCCCAAGUUGGGGUUAAGCCUAGGAAUUCAUAAAAGUCUUCACGGACUCACAUUCUGCCACUCCAUGUGCUUCAUUAUUGUUAUGGUGAGAGAAACAGCAUUUUGUUAUUUUUCUAUACCCUAACUUGAAGUAGAACUGAACUUUUGCAUUUGAAGAUUGAACGCCAUAAUUUUAUGAAAAAAAAAUAAAAAUAUGUUGUUAUUAAAACAAAGCCAGGUAUAUAUUAA